GCCCGGGUGGUCUAGUGGUAUGAUUCGCGCUUAGGGUUCACCCAAAGCAAUAUUGCGCGAGGUCCCCGGUUCAAUCCCGGGCUCGGGCC
rnacentral:tRNA from 3 species